UUAUACGAGAGACCCAAAUUGAUAAAAACGGCGUAAAGCGUGGUUAAGAAGACAAAAAAAUACGGCCGAACAGAUUCAAAGCAGUUAUACGCAUUCGAAACAACGAAGAUCAAGCACGCAAGUUGCCCUAAAAAACUCUGACCCCACGAAAGCCAUAAAACAAACUGGGAUUAGAUACCCCACUAUGUAUGGUCGUUAACAUUGAUGGUUUUAUACCUAAAUCAUCCGCCUGGGA
rnacentral:rRNA from 1 species